UUAGCCUACGGGAGGCAGCAGUGGGGAAUAUUGCACAAUGGGCGCAAGCCUGAUGCAGCCAUGCCGCGUGUAUGAAGAAGGCCUUCGGGUUGUAAAGUACUUUCAGCGGGGAGGAAGGCGAUAAGGUUAAUAACCUUGUCGAUUGACGUUACCCGCAGAAGAAGCACCGGCUAACUCCGUGCCAGCAGCCGCGGUAAUACGGAGGGUGCAAGCGUUAAUCGGAAUUACUGGGCGUAAAGCGCACGCAGGCGGUCUGUCAAGUCGGAUGUGAAAUACCGGGGCCCAACCCCGGGGCUGCAUUGGGG
rnacentral:rRNA from 1 species